UAGAGAAUUAUUUGAUCAAAUUAGGGGUAAGGGCUAUUAAGUGAAAAUAGAUGUAAAAAUUUAAAUAGGGGUUUCGUUUAAAAAAUGGGUUUUUUUAUUUUCAGUGUAAAAGGUUAACAAAAUUAUUGGGGGGUAAUUUUAAUUAAUUUAGUAAACAUUGAGGAGAACAAAAAUGUGCCAGCAUUCGCGGUUAAACAUUAUUCUCGGGUCUUUUUAUUUAGGGGGAAGAAUGGUGUAAAUAUAUUUAAUUAUUUUAAUGGGGGUUAAAUAAAUUAAAAUAGAUAUUAUACAUAAAUUCUUUAAAAUUUUGGGCUUAAACUAGGAUUAGAUACCCUAUUAUUCAAAAUUACUUUUAACUUUUUAGUAUUUUAAUAACAUAAUAAAUUAAAUUGAUUUGGCGGUUUAUUAAACUUUUUAGAGGAAUCUGUAGAUUAAAUUGAUAAUCCACGAUUUUUUAUACCUUAAAUUUUCUUGUAUAUCUCUAUAAUGGAAUAUAUUUAAAGAUUAAUUUUCUUAUUUUUUUUUUAAUUUAAUUUAGGUCAAGGUGCAGUUAUUUUUGGGAUUUAAUGGAUUACAAUUAUUUUAGUUAGUAGAAAAAUUUAUAUAAAAAAUUUUUUAAAUUGGAUUUAAUAGUAAAUUUUUUUUUUAAAAAAUUUGAAUAAUGCUCUGAUUUAUGUACAUAUCGCCCGUCAUUCUCAUACAUGAGACAAGUCGUAACAAAGUAGAUGUAUUGGAAAAUGUAUCUAG
rnacentral:ncRNA from 1 species